GUCUACGGCCAUGCCACCCUGAACAAGACCGAUGUCUAAUCUCGGAAGCGAGAUCAGCUAAGCAGGGGCGGGCCUGGAUAGUACUUGGAUGGGAGACCACCUAGGAAGACCAGGUGCUGUAGGCA
rnacentral:rRNA from 1 species